GACGGAGGGGGCUAGCGUUGUUCGGAAUUACUGGGCGUAAAGCGCGCGUAGGCGGCAUAGCAAGUUGGGGGUGAAAGCCCGGGGCUCAACUCCGGAACUGCCUUCAAAACUGCUAAGCUAGAGUUCGGAAGAGGAGAGUGGAAUACCCAGUGUAGAGGUGGAAUUCGUAGAUAUUGGGUAGAACACCAGUGGCGAAGGCGACUCUCUGGUCCGAUACUGACGCUGAGGUGCGAAAGCGUGGGGAGCAAAC
rnacentral:rRNA from 1 species